rnacentral:rRNA from 1 species
GACGAACGCUGGCGGCGUGCUUAACACAUGCAAGUCGAACGAAAAGGCCCUGCUUGCAGGGUGCUCGAGUGGCGAACGGGUGAGUAACACGUGGGUGAUCUGCCCCUUACUUUGGGAUAAGCCUGGGAAACUGGGUCUAAUACUGGAUAGGACCAUGCUGUAGGUGGUGUGGUGGAAAGAUUAGUUUCGGUAAGGGAUGAGCUCGCGGCCUAUCAGCUUGUUGGUGGGGUAAUGGCCUACCAAGGCGUCGACGGGUAGCCGGCCUGAGAGGGUGGACGGCCACAUUGGGACUGAGAUACGGCCCAGACUCCUACGGGAGGCAGCAGUGGGGAAUAUUGCACAAUGGGCGCAAGCCUGAUGCAGCGACGCCGCGUGGGGGAUGACGGCCUUCGGGUUGUAAACUCCUUUCAGCCAUGACGAAGCCCUUGUGGUGACGGUAGUGGUAGAAGAAGCACCGGCUAACUACGUG